CCUACGGGGGGCUGCAGUGGGGAAUAUUGGACAAUGGGGGCAACCCUGAUCCAGCCAUGCCGCGUGUGUGAAGAAGGCCCUCGGGUUGUAAAGCACUUUCAGUGAGGAAGAACGCCUGGUGGUUAAUACCCAUCAGGAAAGACAUCACUCACAGAAGAAGCACCGGCUAACUCCGUGCCAGCAGCCGCGGUAAUACGGAGGGUGCGAGCGUUAAUCGGAAUUACUGGGCGUAAAGCGCGCGUAGGUGGCUUGAUAAGCCGGUUGUGAAAGCCCCGGGCUCAACCUGGGAACGGCAUCCGGAACUGUCAAGCUAGAGUGCAGGAGAGGAAGGUAGAAUUCCCGGUGUAGCGGUGAAAUGCGUAGAGAUCGGGAGGAAUACCAGUGGCGAAGGCGGCCUUCUGGACUGACACUGACACUGAGGUGCGAAAGCGUGGGUAGCACACAGGAUUAGAUACCCUGGUAGUC
rnacentral:rRNA from 1 species